rnacentral:rRNA from 1 species
CAGUCGCCGCGGUAAUACGAAGGGUGCAAGCGUUAAUCGGAAUUACUGGGCGUAAAGCGUGCGUAGGCGGUGAGUUAAGUCUGCUGUGAAAUCCCCGGGCUCAACCUGGGAAUGGCAGUGGAUACUGGCUCGCUAGAGUGUGUCAGAGGAUGGUGGAAUUCCCGGUGUAGCGGUGAAAUGCGUAGAGAUCGGGAGGAACAUCAGUGGCGAAGGCGGCCAUCUGGGACAACACUGACGCUGAGGCACGAAAGCGUGGGGAGCAAACAGGAUUAGAUACCCCGGUAGUCCCUGUCUAUUAUAA